GCGACUAUAGUUUAGUGGUAAAACCCAGGUUUGUGGAUCCUGAGUCGAGAGUCCGAUUCUCUCUAGCCGCC
rnacentral:tRNA from 1 species